rnacentral:lncRNA from 1 species
GCCAAAUGUUCUCUUUUCUCUGAUUCUGUUCACUUUGGGGAAAAUCUGAAGACUAAGUGGGCAGAAGAGAGGAACCUGUGGACUGCUGCUAUCUGGGCUCUUGCACGAAUGACAAUGAAGCCAAAUGUACAGAUAUUAUCAGUUUCCUGCACUUCAACAGAAGGAUCAUCUAUGGGAAGAAGAAAGACGGUGAAUUGUAAGAACAGUAGGGACGAUGUGUAGGCAGAAUUGAUGCAUAUUAUGGACCAGGAGUUUAGAAAGUGGAUACACGCUUCCAUCAGCCACCAGGGAUGUUCAGAAGUGGAAAAAACCUGUCCCUUUGCUGCCAUUCAC